CAGGUUUACCUGUGUGACUGCGUACCUUUUGUAUAAUGGGUCAGCGACUUAUAUUCUGUAGCAAGGUUAACCGAAUAGGGGAGCCGGAGGGAAACCGAGUCUUAAUUGGGCGUUAAGUUGCAGGGUAUAGACCCGAAACCCGGUGAUCUAGCCAUGGGCAGGUUGAAGGUUGGGUAACACUAACUGGAGGACCGAACCGACUAAUGUUGAAAAAUUAGCGGAUGACCUGUGGCUGGGGGUGAAAGGCCAAUCAAACCGGGAGAUAGCUGGUUCUCCCCGAAAGCUAUUUAGGUAGCGCCUCGUGAAUUCAUCUCCGGGGGUAGAGCACUGUUUCGGCUAGGGGGCCAUCCCGGCUUACCAACCCGAUGCAAACUGCGAAUACCGGAGAAUGUUAUCACGGGAGACACACGGCGGGUGCUAACGUCCGUCGUGAAGAGGGAAACAACCCAGACCGCCAGCUAAGGUCCCAAAGUCAUGGUUAAGUGGGAAACGAUGUGGGAAGGCCCAGACAGCCAGGAUGUUGGCUUAGAAGCAGCCAUCAUUUAAAGAAAGCGUAAUAGCUCACUGGUCGAGUCGGCCUGCGCGGAAGAUGUAACGGGGCUAAACCAUGCACCGAAGCUGCGGCAGCGACACUGUGUGUUGUUGGGUAGGGGAGCGUUCUGUAAGCCUGCGAAGGUGGCCUGUGAGGGUUGCUGGAGGUAUCAGAAGUGCGAAUGCUGACAUAAGUAACGAUAAAGCGGGUGAAAAGCCCGCUCGCCGGAAGACCAAGGGUUCCUGUCCAACGUUAAUCGGGGCAGGGUGAGUCGACCCCUAAGGCGAGGCCGAAAGGCGUAGUCGAUGGGAAACGGGUUAAUAUUCCCGUACUUGGUGUUACUGCGAAGGGGGGACGGAGAAGGCUAUGUUGGCCGGGCGACGGUUGUCCCGGUUUAAGCGUGUAGGUGUGUGUUCCAGGUAAAUCCGGUUCACUUUAACACUGAGGCGUGACGACGAGGCACUACGGUGCUGAAGCAACAAAUGCCCUGCUUCCAGGAAAAGCCUCUAAGCAUCAGGUAACAUCAAAUCGUACCCCAAACCGACACAGGUGGUCAGGUAGAGAAUACCAAGGCGCUUGAGAGAACUCGGGUGAAGGAACUAGGCAAAAUGGUGCCGUAACUUCGGGAGAAGGCACGCUGACACGUAGGUGAAGUGAUUUACUCAUGGAGCUGAAGUCAGUCGAAGAUACCAGCUGGCUGCAACUGUUUAUUAAAAACACAGCACUGUGCAAACACGAAAGUGGACGUAUACGGUGUGACGCCUGCCCGGUGCCGGAAGGUUAAUUGAUGGGGUCAGCGCAAGCGAAGCUCCUGAUCGAAGCCCCGGUAAACGGCGGCCGUAACUAUAACGGUCCUAAGGUAGCGAAAUUCCUUGUCGGGUAAGUUCCGACCUGCACGAAUGGCGUAAUGAUGGCCAGGCUGUCUCCACCCGAGACUCAGUGAAAUUGAACUCGCUGUGAAGAUGCAGUGUACCCGCGGCAAGACGGAAAGACCCCGUGAACCUUUACUAUAGCUUGACACUGAACAUUGAGCCUUGAUGUGUAGGAUAGGUGGGAGGCUUUGAAGUGUGGACGCCAGUCUGCAUGGAGCCGACCUUGAAAUACCACCCUUUAAUGUUUGAUGUUCUAACGUGGACCCGUUACCCGGGUUGCGGACAGUGUCUGGUGGGUAGUUUGACUGGGGCGGUCUCCUCCUAAAGAGUAACGGAGGAGCACGAAGGUUGGCUAAUCCUGGUCGGACAUCAGGAGGUUAGUGCAAUGGCAUAAGCCAGCUUGACUGCGAGCGUGACGGCGCGAGCAGGUGCGAAAGCAGGUCAUAGUGAUCCGGUGGUUCUGAAUGGAAGGGCCAUCGCUCAACGGAUAAAAGGUACUCCGGGGAUAACAGGCUGAUACCGCCCAAGAGUUCAUAUCGACGGCGGUGUUUGGCACCUCGAUGUCGGCUCAUCACAUCCUGGGGCUGAAGUAGGUCCCAAGGGUAUGGCUGUUCGCCAUUUAAAGUGGUACGCGAGCUGGGUUUAGAACGUCGUGAGACAGUUCGGUCCCUAUCUGCCGUGGGCGCUGGAGAACUGAGGGGGGCUGCUCCUAGUACGAGAGGACCGGAGUGGACGCAUCACUGGUGUUCGGGUUGUCAUGCCAAUGGCACUGCCCGGUAGCUAAAUGCGGAAGAGAUAAGUGCUGAAAGCAUCUAAGCACGAAACUUGCCCCGAG
rnacentral:rRNA from 4 species